ACAUGGGUGGUUCAGUGGUAGAAUUCUCACCUUCCACAUCAAAAGCCCGGGUUCGAUUCCGAGCCCAUGCA
rnacentral:tRNA from 1 species